AUGCUUAACACAUGCAAGUCGAACGAGAAAGUGGAGCAAUCCAUGAGUAAAGUGGCGACCGGGUGAGUAACACGUGACUAACCUACCCUUGAGUGGGGGAUAACCUCGGGAAACCGGGGCUAAUACCGCAUAACAUCUUCGGGAUGAAAAGCUGAAGAUCAAAGGAGCAAUUCGCUUUUGGAGGGGGUCGCGGCUGAUUAGCUAGUUGGUGGGGUAACGGCCCACCAAGGCGGUGAUCGGUAGCCGGCCUGAGAGGGCGCACGGCCACACUGGAACUGAAACACGGUCCAGACUCCUACGGGAGGCAGCAGUGGGGAAUUUUGCGCAAUGGGGGAAACCCUGACGCAGCAACGCCGCGUGGAGGAUGAAGCCCUUUGGGGUGUAAACUCCUUUCGACCAAGACGAUUAUGACGGUACUGGUGGAAGAAGCACCGGCUAACUCUGUGCCAGCAGCCGCGGUAAUACAGAGGGUGCAAGCGUUGUUCGGAAUUAUUGGGCGUAAAGGGCGCGUAGGCGGUGCGGUAAGUCACCUGUGAAAUCUCUGGGCUUAACUCAGAGCUUGCAGGCGAAACUGCCGUGCUGGAGUGUGGGAGAGGUGCGUGGAAUUCCCGGUGUAGCGGUGAAAUGCGUAGAUAUCGGAAGGAACACCAGUGG
rnacentral:rRNA from 1 species